rnacentral:rRNA from 1 species
CAGUAGCCGCGGGAAUACGAAGGGGGCUAGCGUUGUUCGGAUUUACUGGGCGUAAAGCGCACGUAGGCGGAUCGAUCAGUCAGGGGUGAAAUCCCGGAGCUCAACUCUGGAACUGCCUUUGAUACUGUCGAUCUGGAGUAUGGAAGAGGUGAGUGGAAUUCCGAGUGUAGAGGUGAAAUUCGUAGAUAUCCGGAGGAACACCAGUGGCGAAGGCGGCUCACUGGUCCAUUACUGACGCUGAGGUGCGAAAGCGUGGGGAGCAAACAGGAUUAGAUACCCGUGUAGUCCCUGUCUCUUAUAC